UCUCAUGGUGGGGCUUUUUGCCGGACUCAGUCACGAGUUCCCAGUCACGCCCAGCACAAUUGCCCCUAGGGGGUCAGAAUCCCCCAGAGCGCAGGCUGAAAAAAACCCAGGUAGAAAUUCCAUCAGACCCCCUGACGUGGAGCGGGGCCAAUUUUUGUUCCCAGUUACUCAGUGGAGAAUCGCACUGAAGUCAAUGGAAGUUGCAACCAACUUAGGCCCCGACUCUGCAUGCUACAGCUCAUGACUCGAGCCUGUUUGGAGUCAGCGUUGCUCUGCAUGGACGCUGGGGUCCGCCCACAUGAUGUCCUUGCAGGAUCGUGGCCCAACUGGAUACAGAACGGGGCCUCUCAGGCAGCCAUGGCCCUACAAACCCUGAAUUCCACCCUCUAAUAACAGGAUACAAACCCCACGUGCCGGGUUUGGCUGGUUGACUGUGGUAUAAAUGGUUUUCUCGCCCUUCCCCAUGGAUUCCAGGCCUUCCUUGCACAGCUUCUCAUCAUCCGUUUGCGGAGGCGACUGAAAUGAAAGAGACAGAGCUGUCACUAUUCCUGUCAGGAGACAAAAGCUCCGAGCACUUGGAGAUCCGGGGUGGAAUCCUGGUCCCGCUAGCGUCAAUGGGGCCGGGAGUUUGUGCGUCCCCAGCGUGUGAAAGCUUCCCUCUGGUUUGGCCCUGGAUGGAGGGACAGCUCCCAGCAGCCAGUCUCCGACCCCAGGUCCACAGACUCGGGGCUCACAGAGCUCAGGCUCCCAAGCUAAAAGAGCUGUGAAAACAUUGUGACUCGGGCUUGACCCUCUCCUCCCAGCUCCUGCCUGAGCCGUACCAUCCACACAGCUGUCUUCAGCACCACGGCCCAAGUCUGAUCCGCCAACCUGCUGCUCGCGGGGUAGACGUCCCUUGAAAGCAGGUGGCCGGCGCCUGAUUCACCACCGCCCUUGGCGCGGCCAUUUACACCAGCGUCGAACACUCCUGUCCUGAGCUGGUGGCCCUCUACGGUGCUCUCAAUCAGCACAGACGGGGCGGGGCAAUGGAGAAUAGGGCCCAGGGAAUCUGUCAGCCUGUGUGUGCAAAGGAGACUCACUGGCCUCACUUCUGUGUCUUGCUAUGGGCUGAUCUGGAGGCAUAAAGAGGGGCAGGGUAGCCUCCAGCCAAACCUCCCAGGUGCAGCGGGGUUUUCGUGGUGGUACAGGGUGUCCGUACAAUGCCUGUAGAGGCCCUCGCGCAGGGCCACGCCGGGGGUGGACUGGGAAAGAGUGCAACCGGGGGCUGGGGAACUGUGAGCUCGCACUAUCCUGGGCCCCUGGGGCUGCUCUAAGUUGUGCUGUGGGGGCUGGUCCUCUUCCCAGACCAGCUCUCAGAGCAUAAAGGGGAGAUAAAGUCUCUUUUCCCCUGUCUCUAUUUGCAUUGCCCUCUGCCACGCUCUGUCUCCCGCAGGGCUCAGCACAGAACUUGGUUCACUGUGUUUACGUGUUGAUUAUCAUCGCUACCUCCAGGUCUCAUUGGUGUCCAGAUCAUUGUCCAUAUUUUCCCUGAAAUCAGAGAGCAUCGAGCCAUGGGCCCGUUACGCUAGGGGUGGGUGGUUGUUAUUAGAGCCCGUAGCAUGCUAGGGGUCAGCGAUCACAGUGUUUAACUCUGCCAGCCAGGAGAAGAAAACCCAGGUCAAAUAAAUAUACAGGAAAGCAAGGUGUAGCACUCCUACCUGGUUUGGGUGAUGGACCUUGGAAUAGAUCGUUUUUGUCUCGUCCUCCUUGGUCUCCGGACCCCUUUUCUGCGUCCCCGUUCUACUGCAAACCUAAAUAGACAGAUCCCACCCCUUAGCAUGAGCUGGACACAGAUUUGCAGCAGCUGAGUGAAGUGGCUUUAAACAAUGCUUUGCAGAGUCAGGUCAGAGAGCAAUCGUCACAAGGGGCAAACAAGGCCAAAGCUGUGGUCAGAAUUAGAGCUCGGUGAAACUUUUUUGGCAAAUAGCGAAUUUGCCCAAAAUGCAUUUUUCGGCGCACUACAACUAUUUGCAAAUUGGGGGUCAAUUCAGCAACUAGUUUUGACCAAAAAGGGGGAGGGGGGGACUUCAAAGUCAAAAUAUUUUGUUUUAACUCUUCCAAUUCUGACAAAAUUCCUUUCUACCAUUUUGAAACAAGAGUUUGAUUAUUUUGUUUUGAAACCACAAUUCAUUUCAAAAUUUAGGGUUUUUUUUUAAAAAAGGGGUGGGGGCAAAAAACACCUGAAAUGACCCAAAAUUAACGCCGGGGGGGGGAGGGGGCGGGAUUGAAAAAAUUUCAUUUUGCAUCAAGUUAAACAUUUUUCUUCAGCAAAAAAACUCUGCAAAAACUGUUUCAGUUUGGACCGAAAUUUUUCUGGCAUUUUUUUUGGUUCAGGUCCUGAAUCGAACAAUUAUUUGCUCAUCUCUAGUCUUAAUUCUUAGCUGAAAGGCUCCCUGCCUGCAAGGGCUUCUGGAAUGGACACCGGGCAUGGGAUUCCACCCCGUCCCGUGUGGAGGCCCGGUUCUGCUGGGUCAGGGCCCUUUGCAGCUACAAAGGAUCGGACCGGCUGCUCCUUCUCUCUGCCGCUUUCAGCAUCGACCGAGCAUUAUUGCAUGCUCCAAAGGGACCUCAAAAAUUUUCUGGCUGCUUCCAACACCGCCUCCUCUUCCCCCAUCACAAAGUGACCCCAGUGUUUCUGCUAGCCCCACUUGUCCCUGGACUGGGGCCCCACAGUCCCAUACUCGUGGUAAAUCUAAGGCACUGGUACCAUCAACCCAUCCUGGCUUUUCUUCUGGCUAAGCCGACCCACUGCCUCGAAUUGGUAAUGGCUUCACCACGAGGGAGUUUUAGGUGAACUCACCUGUGGCGAAUUACCGACUUUGGCAUAAACUGUGUUUGUUUCUGCAUCGGCCUCUGCAAUGAAAAGAAUGUGAGAAGUAAGUGAAUGGAACAGACCCCACUGCCAGUGGAGACUGGGAACUGGGAGACACUGGACUCAUGGCAUAGGGCUGGGCAGUCCCCCUUGCUGUGCCCUCAUCCGUUCUGUAUGGUAACUUCAGACAGAUGGGGAGGACAUGCAUUCUCCUCUCGCCUGAGUGCUUAAGGGAAAUCUGUGUUAUUUCUGAUCCACGCUGCACAUGUUACUGGGCUCAUUGAACUGGAGUCAUUAAAGAUCCCUGGGCACUUCGUGAAUGACCAGAGGUGUUCACCUAGAACCAGGCCAAAUUCUAACUCUGGUAACUGUAGCAGGGUUGCUAUGCAGUAUUAAACAGCUGCCAUGUUCCCCCUCAGAGGUGGCUCCAUUACAAUGAUGGGUGACAAAAAUCUCCGUAAACUUUAUCAAUCAUUUUGCAAGGCACUUUGGGAUACCUAGGGAUGAAAAGUACUAAGUAACUGUUCAAAGAAUAAAAAACAGGUGACUAGUUGUCUGUGGAGCUUUUACUUUUAGUAAAAGAAAAGACUUUUAAAAUUAUUAAUCUAGUAGCCCUAAACAACAGCGGGGGGGGGGGGGGGGGGAGGGGUUAAAGAGGGGAAAAUACUUAUAUUUCUUCAAUUCUUCCCCCUGUUUUUGUUGAAAUUAAAAAUUCUUUAGAAGCUCGACACUUUUUUAGAAACUUGAAAAUUUGCAACCAGUUCUACACUUGCUUUGAAACAGGGAAAAAUGUAAACAAAAAACAAACAAAAAACCCCAUAAGAACAUAAGAAUGGCCAUACUGGGUAAGACUAAAGGUCCAUCCAGCCCAGUAUCCGGUCUACUGACAGUGGCCAAUGCCAGGUGCCCCAGAGGGAGUGAACCUAACAGGCAAUGAUCUAGUGAUCUCUCUCCUGCCAUCCAGCUCCACCCUCUGACAAACAGAGGCUUGGGACACCAUUCUUUACCCAUCCUGGCUAAUAGCCAUUAAUGGACUUAACCUCCAUGAAUUUAUCCAGCUCUCUUUUAAACCCUGUUAUAGUCCUAGCCUUCACACCCUCCUCAGGCGAGGAGUUCCACAGGUUGACUGUGCACUGAGUGAAGAAGAACUUCCUUUUAUUUUAAACCUACUACCCAUUCAUUUCAUUUGUUGGCCCCUAGUUCUUAUGUUAUGGGAACAAGUAAAUAACUUUUCCUUAUUCACUUUCUCCACACCACACAUGAUUUUAUAGACCUCUAUCAUAUCCCCCCUUAGUCUCCCCUUUUCCAAGCUGAAAAAUCCUAGCCUCUUUAAUCUCUCCUCAUAUGGGACCCGUUCCAAACCCCUCAUCAUUUUAGUUGCCCUUUUCUGAACCUUUUCUAAUGCCAGUAUAUCUUUUUUGAGAUGAGGGGACCCCAUCUGUACGCAGUAUUCAAGAUGACAGGUUUCAGAGUAGCAGCUGUGUUAGUCUGUAUCCGUAAAAAGAAAAGGAGUACUUGUGGCACCUUAGAGACUAACAGCUUUAUUAGAGCAUAAGCUUUCGUGAGCUACAGCUCACUUCAUCGGAUGCAGACAGUGGAAAAUACAGUGGGGAGAUUUUAUAUACACAGAGAACAUGAAACAACGGGUGUUACCAUACACACUGUAAUGAGAGUGACCAGGAAAGGUGAGCUAUUACCAGCAGGGGGGCGGGGGGGUAGUGAUAAUCUUUUUGUAGUGAUAAUCAAGGUGGGCCAUUUGCAGCAGUUUACGUUGGGGGGGGGGGGGAAGGAAGGGGAGGUUGAAAAUUCAAAAUUUGUGAAUUUUUUACAAUCAAGAUUUGAGAAAUUGCUCCCAGCGCUCUGAUACAAAAACUAUAAAACUUAAAACUAAACUUAAAACCACACAGCCUUAAAACUAAACCAAACUAGCAGAGGUAUCAGGGAUCUGCCAGAUCCCACCCACCGCUGCCAUAGGGGGCUUGCAUAUCCACGUUAAGACAUCUCCAACCAUAAAGAGCAGACCAGGUACUUCUCCAUGUAUGUAGCCUUUAUUUCAGAUUAAGGAAAAACAACAGAGAACAAAUAUGAAGUCUCCAUGGGAGAAAGAGGAAUAGAACACAGUGGCUCGUUUUGUAAAAUGUCCAGUCUGCACAGCCCCGGGACUAAUUCUCCUCUGGCCUGCAUGUUGUGUUGGUGAUGACAACUCAAUUUGGAGUUGUCAAUCAAAAGUCCAGGGAAUGGGAAGCAUUUGUCGAGUGGCGACAAUCCUGGCAUCUUUGCUCCUUCCGUUUGGUUUCUUAAAGAGACCUUUAUACUUUGCAGCUGUAGAGGUUAGUCUUUGACACAUAAUGGCCCCGAUUCAGGAAAUAACUUAGAAUAUCAGGGUGGGAAGGGACCUCAGGAGGUCAUCUAGUCCAAUCCCCUGCUCAAAGCAGGACCAAUCCCCAAUUUUUGCCCCAGAUCCCUAAAUGGCCCCCUCAAGGAUUGAACUCAAAACCCUAGGUUUAGCAGGUUAAUACUCAAACCACUGAGCUGUCCCUCCUCCCAUAGCUAGCUCUUGUCUAGAGGUUUUCAUCAGUCGACCUCAAAGUGCUUUACAAAGGCGGUCAUUAUCCCCAUUUUACAUACGGGGAAGUGAGGCAUGGAGCGGGCAACUGACUCCUCCAUGGUCACCCAUCAGGCUAGUGGAAGAGCCGGUACUAGAACCAUGAUCUUCUGAGUCCUAGUCAGGGCACUGUCCACUAGGUAAUACUGCCCGUCAAACCCAGCUUUAAGUCCCAUAAACUGCACUGGGGCUUAGGCAAGUGCUUCAGUGUUCUCCUGAAUACAGAUACUUUCCUAGCGUGGGACAGCUGCUUAUGAAGCAGCGCCGUUCCUCCUUAUAUUCCAUCUCUCCCAGCUUCGGCGUCAGUCUUUAAACUUGUCAGUGUCAUUCUUCUAUUUUCUUAGCUCUUGUGGGAUCUUUUGCUGUUGCCUUCAGCUGCAUUUGCACUAAAAUACUGUUCAAAGUUACAAGUCCCAUGCUUCCAAAUCUUCCUGUGUUUCAUUAAGCCGGAGCCUUUCCAUAUUCCUAUAAGUGUCCAUUCCACCUUUCUAUUUUUCUUCCCUUUAACCCAGAAAUCUCUCCCACGCUCCUUCACUUUCUCUGAGCUCCUUGUCAUUUUACCAUCCCCUCCUCACAGCCGCAUCUUUGUCCUUCCCGGAAUCGGAGAGUAAAAGCGGUAUUUUCAUGCCUGGGUGCCUUUUAUUCCAGAUUUAAAGAAAACAACAGACAAAGGAAGAACAAAUGUAAAGUUGCCAGGAGAGGGAGCGAGAGCCCAGUGUGUGUGAUUGGCCCUGCGACAUUCUGCAUCUGAGAAGAAACACAAAAUGGCACCUGCCUCACUGCUACCUACACCACAACCGUUCCCGUGGCUGGCCUGUGCAACCAAACCUGCCUAAUUUGCAGCACCAGGCUUUGGCCUCUGGCCUAAUCCUGCCUCCUGCACUAAGAUCUCUGGCUUUUGGCCACCUACAGUAUUUUCUAGGGUAGAUGGGGCUGCAUAAGUGUCCCUCCUCCUCCCCUACCAGCCACUCAGCUCGUAACCUUGCUCUCAUCUCCUCCACUGAGAGAGACCGAUGGAGCUGGGGGUGGAGCUGAGGGCUGGCGGUGUGAGGAGCAGCUGGCAAGGGGAUGGAGGGUCUGGGGGGGUCAAUGCCACAGACACAAACUGCGCAGCCGUUAGCCCCUCCUCCUCCCUGUUGCGCAUGGAGUUAAGGGCUUGGGGGGCGGGGGGCGCAGCACCAGAGGGUAUCCAGGCUAAGGGAGCUGGAUGGGAGUGUAGCUGAGGGGGGUCAGGGUGAGGUGCGGGGAUUGGAUGGGGAACCAGCCAGAGGGGGCAUAAUCUUACGGAAAUAAUGCACGUUAUAGUAACCCCCUGCGUUGUGUGAAGACGGUACAAUUUACACAGCAAACGGCUAAGGGAAAGGAGUGUUUGUAUCCGUUAACUUCCCCUCUACAUUCAACCUCAGCUGUUUGUUCCUACAUUUGUUGUGGUGGCUCCUGUGAUGCACCGUGCAGCUACAGCGAAGCUGGAGGAAUUAACCCGUUGGCUGGUUGGUGGUGUAUUUACCGAGUUAACUUUGCAGUUGGCCAGUGCCUGUGCUCUACGUCAGGCUCAGCUCAGCAGUCCCUGGGAACCACAGAGCAAUGAUGACAAGGACGAUGAUGACCACAGUAAUUGGAACGGCAAUUGCAGCCCUACGGGCAGAUGGUGGUACUUAAAAGGGAAGAUAAAUGAACUCAGUGACAGUGAAGAAAACGGCCAUGAGAUGUAACAGAAAAGCGCAUUCUUCCUCUACCCUAAAACAGGGAGCCCGUGUGGGCUGCAGUUCGGCAGUUUUCCAACCGUCUCCCAAGAACCACCAAUAGUUUGCAGAUUCCUUUCUUGCUGCUAGCCAAGCAGUCGGGGGAUGUUUGGGAGGCCAGGUCCUACCUCAGCAAUGAGUGUUGGAGUCUUUCCUGCAGAGGGACUUACCUACACAAAGGUCCUUUGCAGAGGCCGUUGUGGAGCUGUGACUGACGGGGUUCUGUGCUGUGCAGGUGACGGCCAGCUUCCUUAUCAUUUGUUCUGGAUACCACAUUCCGAGUACCUGUUGGGCCAUGGAGGUACAUCCCAACCUGUACGAGGACACACCAUUCAUGCAACUUGCCUUUGACAGGAAACAGCAGCUCACCCUGACCACAUGGGACUGACAAAUAUGGAAACCCACCGAGCCUAAUCUAGCUGGACAAGACAGGAAACGUCUCAUCCCCUGCGGGUUCAUUAACUGGAUGUGUCAGAGACCACAGCUUGUCUCCUCAGGACUAUGAAACAUUUUCUGCGCACAGCUAAGAAGCCUCACCAGAGGAAGAGCAAUAGAGAUGAGUGACGAUGGAGAGAUAAUCUGGGGAUUGGUGAUGAAAUCCAGAGCUCUGCCUCUACAUCCCUGGUCCAGCUGUUCAAACCAGGUACUGUGGUGGCUGUUUAGUGGAUGCUGUGUGACCUGACUUGAUGAAAUCUAUGCAGAGCCGAAUGGACACGUGUCCAAAUGACAAUCUGGUCCAUUGCUGGCAUCUAGAGGCCUAGGACUGAAUGAUACAUGGAGACUGGAUUCAUCUCUGACUCCUAGAUGUGGUCCCUCCAGGUCUGGGUCCAGGCAGAUGGGGAAGUUUGUGCUGCCAUGGUACACCUGCGGGUGGAGGACUUGUGUCUCCAGGGUUGUCAGUUUGGUGCCUUUCACCAGCAUGAAAUUCAUCAAGGAUUCAGCCCUGAAGUCCUCCAUUGGUCCAGACUCCCCCUUAUGCCAUCUGUCACGCAGUCCCUGGGCGAUGCUCUGGAACUGCGCCCUACGAAGCCAGUCAGGACUCUGGGGGAGCCUCCUCUCUGGGAGCAGCCUGUCUGCAGGGCAAAAAGCUCACACAGCUUCCACCUUCCUGGGGCUGACCUCGAAACAUUCAGCAUCCUCUGCCCCUCCAUGCGCUUCCCACAGUGAGUCCGCCCAGGCGGGGUCCUGGGGAAGCCAGAGGGUCCUGCACCCCAACUUCACAGUCAGACGUGACUCUCAGCCAGCCAGUAAAACAGAAGGUUUAUUAGACGACAGGAACAUGGUCUAAAACAGAGCUUGUAGAUACAGGAAACAGGACCCCUCAGUCAGGUCUGUCUUGCGGACGCCAGAGCCCCAUCUGGCCUCCCUCCAUUUCCCCAGCCAGCUCCCAACUGAAACUCUCCAGCCCCUCCUCUCCUUUGUCUCUUUCCCGGGCCAGGAGGCCACCUGAUCUCUUUGUUAUCCAACACCUUUAGUUGGCACCUUUGCAGAGGAGGGGCCCAGGCCAUCAGUUGCCAGGAGACAGGGUGUCGGCCAUUCUUUGUGCAGACACCAUCACACUGGCCCCCUAGGGCUCUGCCACAAUCACACACCCUUAUUCCACCACCUAGAUACUUAAGAACUGCAUAGGGGAAACUGAGGCACACACAGUAUUCAGAGAAAACAUUAAGAACAUUCCCACUUUGUCAUAUCGUCACUGGAAGAUUUGCUGAAAUUUUGGGGCUGGAUGCUACCUUCCCAAAAUUAGUCAGGGUGUUGUCAGCUGAUUUGAUAAUUAAGACAAUGGGCUGGGAUCCAAGAAAUCCACAUGAGGUUCCCAGCACUGUCAGAGGCUCAUAUGUGACCUUGGGCAAGUCACUGAAUCUGUCUCAGUUCCGCCAUCUGUAAAAAUGGGGAUAAUGAUCCUCCCUUUGGCCUGUCUAGUCUGUAAGAUCUUCAGGGCAGGGCCUGCCCAUUGCUCUGUGCAUGUGGAGGCCUAGCACAAGGGGGCCUGAUCUCUGCUGGGCUAGUGUAAUAAAUAUAAAUCUUCCAA